rnacentral:lncRNA from 1 species
AACGAACUAAAAUGAUAGAAUAUCUGCUAUAUAAUUCAAUUCACAGGUUUUAAAUUAAUCUCACUUUUUAAAGUGAUCCUACAGUAUACUGUUGACGGAAGUCAUCGCGUUGCCACACGAUCGGCCAAUCAUACGCCAGUUACUCCUUUACGUCAUUUGACAGGUAGAAUCACUAGGAAGUAAACAUCUAUAAUGGCGAGAAAGUCGUUCAAGUUAAGCCACUACUCAAAUAUGUUACUAAAUGUGAUUUUAUAUAGUAUUUUUAAUGAGUUCGCCUUCGCCUUUCCGUCAUAUCGCGAAUCCAGACAGUCAGAAAGUUUGGAGAAACCCACCUCGGCACCAAAUGUUCAAGAGGUUGGUUAUCGACUUUCUAGCGUCAGUCUCUUCUCUAUUAGUUUGUAUACUUACUAUAAUACACGGUCUGUUGUUUCGCAGGUUGCAAGACUCCAUUUCGGAGUAAUCGCGUCUGUUGUGAUCGUUAUUGUAGCUGCAAUAGCAGCUGCUGUCUUCAUCAUCCGGAAAUAUUGCUGUCCGCAGAGUAAUGUAACAUAUAGAUAUUCAGAGCUGCGACAAAUGGAAGAACAAAAUGCAGCCAGAGAAGAGGACCAUGAUUCAGAUGAAGUUAGUAUGCAUGGCACUUUAAAAUUAGUAAUAAUAGCCUUCAAAACUAUAUAUACUUAAUUACUUUUUAUUCUUACUCUGGAUGUUCUUUCCACAGGACCUUUUGGAGUGAAUCAUGUAGCAUAAUUUAUCCUUGACGCUUCUCUUCCUUUUUAAUGCUGUGACAUUAUAUGGCCAAAAGCAUCACAUGGAUCAUUUAAAAACCACCAGGAGUUUCUGAAAUAUUUAUAUCUGUUCCACCAUUUUUCAGCACGGAUAUGUCCACCAACCAGUUCAAAUUAGCUGGUUACAUUUGGCAGGAUUGGAGGGCUAACAUCCCCUACAUGAAAGAACUGUGGGGAAAUGGUAUAAGAUGCUUAUUAGAGAUAAAAGUUACUAUGAUUUAUUUGCAGGCAAAUAACUUAUGAAAAGAGCUGUUAUGGUUACUGUGCCCAUUGCUUAAUACUUGGUCAAUAUUGGAACUACUUUUUAAAUGCACUCCUUGUUUAGAACUUGUUUAGUAUUUUCUUGAAUUUCUCAAUGCAAGGCAUGUUGUACCAAAGUCUGUUGAAAUGAUUGUAUUGUGCCUGACGUUUUCUUGAUUUUAAAACAGCUUUAUGAUCUCAGGGUUGUUCCCACUGGAUACUGUGAACAGUGCCACAGAUACCAGAAGCACAUCUGAAUAAGCAUUUUACUGUAAACCAGACUUAUCAAUUGUAAUGAUGCUGUAGAGUUUGUAUUUCAGUGCCUUACUGAAAUCUGUUACUGUAAAAUGUAACUCUGUGUAUUUGAACAAUAAUCUGCACUCAUAUGCUGGUGUUGGUAUUUACUAAUGGCAGUGUUUUGACUUCACCACUAUUUUAAUAUGACUAUGUUGAUAGAGAAUUAUUAUGUGCAGUCCAGAGCUCCAUUAUGGUGUUUCUAUUUACUCAGUUCAUGGUGGGAAGUAUUUUUGAUGAUGGAAUUCUGUAUCUUUAGAUUUUCAUAUUUACACCUUAUCUGAGACUGAACUACUGACUACUUAA